CUUUCUUUGCUGGCGACCGGCGCACGGGUGAGUAACACGUAUCCAACCUGCCCUUUACUCGGGGAUAGCCUUUCGAAAGAAAGAUUAAUACCCGAUAGUAUAAUGAUUCCGCAUGGUUUCAUUAUUAAAGGAUUCCGGUAAAGGAUGGGGAUGCGUUCCAUUAGGUUGUUGGUGAGGUAACGGCUCACCAAGCCUUCGAUGGAUGGGGGUUCUGAGAGGAAGGUCCCCCACAUUGGAACUGAGACACGGUCCAA
rnacentral:rRNA from 1 species